rfam:Nicotiana attenuata strain TT chromosome 9, whole genome shotgun sequence.
UGGACAGAUUACUGUAUUCGAGUGUAUUCACGGCAUGAAACAGGGGAUUACACUGUUUUUAAAUGGAAAGUGUAUCUGUCACACUCCU